rnacentral:rRNA from 1 species
AGGUUUCCGUAGGUGAACCUGCGGAAGGAUCAUUACUGAGUGAGGGCCCUCUGGGUCCAACCUCCCACCCGUGUUUAUUGUACCUUGUUGCUUCGGUGCGCCCGCCUCACGGCCGCCGGGGGGCUUCUGCCCCCGGGUCCGCGCGCACCGGAGACACUAUUGAACUCUGUCUGAAGAUUGCAGUCUGAGCAUAAACUAAAUAAGUUAAAACUUUCAACAACGGAUCUCUUGGUUCCGGCAUCGAUGAAGAACGCAGCGAAAUGCGAUAACUAAUGUGAAUUGCAGAAUUCAGUGAAUCAUCGAGUCUUUGAACGCACAUUGCGCCCCCUGGUAUUCCGGGGGGCAUGCCUGUCCGAGCGUCAUUGCUGCCCUCAAGCACGGCUUGUGUGUUGGGCUCCGUCCCCCCGGGGACGGGUCCGAAAGGCAGCGGCGGCACCGAGUCCGGUCCUCGAGCGUAUGGGGCUUUGUCACCCGCUCUGUAGGCCCGGCCGGCGCCAGCCGACAACCAAUCAUCCUUUUUUCAGGUUGACCUCGGAUCAGGUAGGGAUACCCGCUGAACU